CCUACGGGUGGCAGCAGUCGAGAAUCAUUCACAAUGGGGGAAACCCUGAUGCAGCGACGCCGCGUGAGUGAAGACGUAUCUCGGUACGUAAAGCUCUAUCAGCAGGGAAGAAAAUGACGGUACCUGACUAAGAAGCCCCGGCUAACUACGUGCCAGCAGCCGCUGUAAUACUUAGGGGGCAAGCGUUAUCCGGAUUUACUGGGUGGAAAGGGAGCGUAGACGGCAGCACAAGUCUGGAGUGAAAUCCCGGGGCUUAACCCCGGAACUGCUUUGGAAACUGUGCGGCUGGAGUGCAGGAGGGGUAAGCGGAAUUCCUAGUGUAGCGGUGAAAUGCGUAGAUAUUAGGAGGAACACCGGUGGCGAAGGCGGCUUACUGGACUGUAACUGACGUUGAGGCUCGAAAGCGUGGGGAGCAAACAGGAUUAGAUACCCUAGUAGUC
rnacentral:rRNA from 1 species